rnacentral:rRNA from 1 species
GACGAACGCUGGCGGCGUGCUUAACACAUGCAAGUCGAACGGAAAGGCCCUGCUUUUGUGGGGUGCUCGAGUGGCGAACGGGUGAGUAACACGUGAGUAACCUGCCCUUGACUUUGGGAUAACUUCAGGAAACUGGGGCUAAUACCGGAUAGGAGCUCCUGCUGCAUGGUGGGGGUUGGAAAGUUUCGGCGGUUGGGGAUGGACUCGCGGCUUAUCAGCUUGUUGGUGGGGUAGUGGCUUACCAAGGCUUUGACGGGUAGCCGGCCUGAGAGGGUGACCGGCCACAUUGGGAAGGAGAUACGGCCCAGACUCCUAGGGGGGGCAGGAGGGGGGAAUAUUGCACAAUGGGCGGAAGCCUGAUGCAGCAACGCCGGGUGCGGGAUGACGGCCUUCGGGUGGUAAACCGCUUUCGCCUGGGACGAAGGGUGGGUGACGGUAAUGGGUAAAGAAGCACCGGCUAACUACGU